GCCGCCUUAGCUCAGUCGGUAGAGCGAUUCACUCGUANNGAAUAGGUCAGGAGUUCGAUUCUCCUAGGCGGCUCCA
rnacentral:tRNA from 1 species